UACGUAGGGUGCAAGCGUUGUCCGGAAUUAUUGGGCGUAAAGAGCUCGUAGGCGGUUUGUCGCGUCGAAUGUGAAAACCCGGGGCUCAACUCCGGGCCUGCAUUCGAUACGGGCAGACUAGAGUUCGGUAGGGGAGACUGGAAUUCCUGGUGUAGCGGUGAAAUGCGCAGAUAUCAGGAGGAACACCGGUGGCGAAGGCGGGUCUCUGGGCCGAUACUGACGCUGAGGAGCGAAAGCCAGGGGAGCAAACGGG
rnacentral:rRNA from 1 species